GUGGGGAAUAUUGGGCAAUGGGCGAAAGCCUGACCCAGCAACGCCGCGUGAAGGAAGAAGGCUUUCGGGUUGUAAACUUCUUUUGUCAGGGACGAAAAAAAUGACGGUACCUGACGAAUAAGCCACGGCUAACUACGUGCCAGCAGCCGCGGUAAUACGUAGGUGGCAAGCGUUAUCCGGAUUUACUGGGUGUAAAGGGCGUGUAGGCGGGAAAGCAAGUCAGAUGUGAAAACUAUGGGCUCAACCCAUAGCCUGCAUUUGAAACUGUUGUUCUUGAGUACUGGAGAGGCAGAUGGAAUUCCUAGUGUAGCGGUGAAAUGCGUAGAGAUCGGGAGGAACACCAGUGGCGAAGGCGACUUACUGGACUGUAACUGACGCUGAGGCGCGAAAGUGUGGGGAGCAAACAGGAUUAGAAACCCCAGUAGUCC
rnacentral:rRNA from 1 species